GAGUUAGGGCCCCUAGGGGCCCGACCUCCAACCCUCUGUGUACCUACCGCGUUGCUUUGGCGGGCCCGCGGCCCCGGCCGCCGCCGGCUUCGGUCGGACCGCGCCCGCCAGAGGACAGCCAAACUCUUGUCAAUCAGUGCAGUCUAGUCUGAGCUUCAAAUGGAUAACAUUUUAAAACUUUCAACAACGGAUCUCUUGGUUCU
rnacentral:misc_RNA from 1 species